rnacentral:lncRNA from 1 species
CUCCAAUCUAGAAGAACUUAGAAGAACUAAUUCUAAUCUCACAUUGCUUGCUAAGCCCUAAUUCUAUAUAGAGGAAAGGUUAUCAUUCGAGGGCACCUCACAACUCUAUAAUGAUGUGUCCUCCUCCAGGGGCUAGGGGCCUUGCUUAUAUAGCCUCCUCCUUUUGUGCCUUUUUGGUUCAGCAGGCGAUGUGGUACUAAAAUUUCCACCAUAUCUCAUUAAAAUGCACAUAGGCCUUAAUGGACCAAAAUCUAAUUUGGGCCCAAUUAAUUCCGUAGCUCUUUUAUGUGGAGUCUUUUUAUUAAUAUAUCUUGAUUCCGAACUCCAAAUAUAGAAAAUAAUAUAUGCAUUUCGAUCAGCUUGAUGAGAUUUUUGUAAUGGUGUACUCCACUCUGUGAUUGGUGCUUGUACCAGGGUGGGUGCCCAAGGGGGGAGGGCGGGCGCCCUGGCCCCGGGCUCGUUCGGCCUUCCGUUCGUUUCCGUGGCUUCUGGACUCUUCUAGAUGAUAGAAAAUUGCGCGGCACGUUAAUAUCUCUAUGUAAACCCGACAUAUGGGCCUUUCCUCCAUAUUUCCUGAUAACCCCCUGCAGAAAUAGACAAACACAAAACUCGUGGAAUUCUAUCAGAUAAAGCCCUAAGUCUGGGUGUUGGUUGCAUUUGGAUCCUUUUCUUUAUUUAUUUGAUGAUUAUAUUUGGUACUUAAGGACCGUAAACAACUCCCGCAAGCUUACCUCUUGCUCGUCCCUGAGCAAGGAUGGACUCAAGAGUUACUGCAGUGGUUUCAUGCCUUAAAAGUACACAUGCGUUCAAGCAAGAUCUCAUCUCUGAGUUAGAGUAAACUGUUAAGACUUAAAACUUACUCAUUUUACCUUUCACCAUGGGGCUUGCAACCGUCACUUGUGUCUUGAGCAGUUAAAAGAUAAAACGGUCAAGUCAAGCGCCAUGUCUCUUGUUCUUUGAUUAACUAUAGCUCUAGCGUUUCUGUAGAUUUUCAAAUAAAACUCAGAGAUUCCUUGUAUGACUCUCAAAUCUCUCUUUUGUGGUAUUUCUAGAUCCUUUCCAAGGCAGUAAUGGUAUAUGUCUUCUCUCAAAGUAUGUGGUAUUUUUGGUAUGAGGCAUAGUGAUAUUGCCUUCUCUCACACCCUACUCUAAUAAGAUUUUGAUAUCUGGAGCUCAUAGGUGGGAGAUAGAUAAUAUAUACUUACAAGACAUUUAUUGCAUAGUCAAACCAUGGAUCUAGAAGAACAAUUCAAUAAGUCAAAUCAAGAUGUGCAUGUGUGGCGAGUGAGUGGUGUAUGGUGAUAACAAUGGUGAAAAUCUAAUUCUACUUUUGCUCUUUUAAGGGGAUACAUACCUUUCUUGCACUUUGAAGCUUUUUGAGGAGAAUGAGAUGCUGUAUAUUUUCUUUUUCUUUCCUCUCAGGUCGGUAUCUUGUACCCCUAAUUCUACUGUCGGACACUUGUCCAUUUUUACCUCUCGUCUCACUUUUUCUUUUCUUCGAGGUUCCGGGCACUUGCCCCUUUUUAUUUCCUCGUAUCCUUUCUCUCUUUUCUUUUUUUUUUCUUUUCUUUUUUUACUAGAGCACUCAUCUCCUGAAAUAAUAUAGCAAGUGGUAGUAACCAAGAUAACUUGAGCAUUUAUUUCACAGGGAAAAACAGAAAUAGGAGAAUGUUUUUGGCUAUUCUCUCCCGGAUUAGGAGUAGAAUACUUUUGGGUGGCUCUGGAGAUGGAAAUGAGUGGAUAUAUGUGGAUGCGUAUUUCCGGAGUAGAAGUAGCAUGUAUGAGUGAACGUGCAAGUGAAUCUUGAUUUUUAACCGCAUGACAAGCUCCUAAGGGUCUACACAGCUUGACCACACUCAAUGCUCAUAAGUAGUAAAAAGUAAAUGUGUGGCUCAAAGUCUAGCAAGCAUGUAUAUAUGGCUGUGGUAGGAAUUUAAACUCUGAUCAUAUAGGAACUCAUCAUGUGUUAUUUUAAAGAUUUUCAAAGAUAAAAUUCUUCAGAAUUCUAGCAACUCUAGGAACAGAUAAACAGCAGCUCAACCAUCCCAUAUCAUAUCCGUUAACGACUUAGACUUUAGAUCAAGUACCCUUCCCACAAGUUCAGGUUUAGAGCAAAUCUUAAUUCAUAACAGUCAUGCCUAAACUUGAGAGAGAUUUCAAUUUUGAGAACUAGUCAUGGCAGAGCAACUAUUCAUCAUUUCCAUGUGAGAGCUUAUCAUGAGGGUUCAUAGCAAACUUUAUAUAUUUAUUUAUUUAGCAAACUAAGCAAAGAUAUAUAUAUAAGCAUAGAAUUUUUAUUUGGGUUUUUAUGAUUAUGCAUCUUUUAUUAUUUGAGUAAAGUAUAAACAUGAGUAGAACACUUAGCUGGAUAAAUGGGGGUGCUCUCUCCCAAGCUGGAUUUUGACGUAAUUUCUUCUGAUGUAGCUAGCAGGUGGCAGAGGUGUAUUUGAAUGUCGGCAGCACCCUGACAGCGAUUACUAUGUCCUCCGCCGGCUAGUCUUCUUUGAUCCUUGAAUUCUGUGGAGCUCAAAUAGACAACAAAGCUUUGUGGAACUGGUUAAGUGUUAGCAUAAAAUCUCUUAGCCUUUAUCAUAUUGAGAUUCCUCCUAAUAAAUAUUACUUGGGUGGAUCAUAAAUUUUCUUUUAUAUUUUUAUUUUUAUAGGACAGGAAUAUAUUUAUUUUAUUUUUUACGCCACCACACUGAAUGUACUUAUGGGUUUUAUGCCAUGAGCAUACUCACAUGGGGCUUACUAUUUUUAACAUUUUUAUUUUCUUUUCGAGAUGAUAUGAACCUGAUUAACUAAGCAAACUAUUUUAAAUAAUUGAAGGGAAAAGGAUAACUACCAAGUUUACCUCUUGGCAAGGCGUUCGGUGUUUUGAAGUCCUCCGAACGGGACUCUCCGUUUUCUCAGUCGUCCUGGGAUUCACUGGAUGGCGUAGUCGGUGGUUCCGGCGGCGCCUCCUCUUUGUGUAUAACUAUCUUAUCUCUCCACACCUGACUCGGUGCUACGGUCUCCUCAGGACAGUUCUGUUCAAGCUGUAUGUCUUCAGACCUUACCACUUCUCCUUCGUAAUCUACCCAUCCGUCCUUGAUGAUUUGCCUCCUCUAUUUGCAUCAUCUUCUUCUUGUCCUAACCUGCUUAGAGUCUUCAACCUUUCGGAAUGUCUGAUCUGCCAUCUGGAGCUGGGUUGUCCGUGUUCAUCCUUUAGGUGCAUCAUUUGAUUAGGUGUGGACCUUGUCAUCUACACUUCUUGAUACGGUGUCACCCAUGUUCUUCGUUUGUCCAGCAGUUCGAGGUGCAGCAUUGGCAGCAUCCUCCUCAGUGUGUUUGUGCUCGUAGAUCCAAGUCCUUCACUUGGUGGAAUCUGGGAGUUGUAAAACUCCUUCAGGUUUUGCUCGAAGUGUACCUACUCAUAAAGACAAGGCAGAGAUCAAGUGUAUGGGCCGUGUUGGUGGAAAACACCAAUAGAACCAAAAGUGUAUUUGUUCUUCUCUUAACCUUAAGCAUAGUGAGCAAGACAAAGUUGAUGGAUAAUAAGAUCAUGAGUGUAGCAUUUAAAACAUUUGUCAGAUCAGAUCGAUCGACCUAAUGGAAAGAUAAUCUAUCUAUAUUUAUGUUUUGUUUAUAUCUUCCAAAGAUUGAAUGUGCAACAUUUUAGCUUGUAUGAUUAGGAGUGUGGGAUCACGAAUGUAGUACUAAUAACAAAGAUUAAAGGACUAAACAUGCUGAAUCAUUUAGGUUGGUUAAUUUAGAGUUAUAAAUCAUACAUGUUUGUCUCUUUAUUUAUGUGAACGCUAGAACCAAGGAGAAGCUUAUAAAAGUGAUAGUCGAGUACCUUAAGAUGUUAUCUUACUUGAAGAGUGAUGGUAUAGUAUCACCUUGUGGAAGCUUUCUGUAACAUCCCUGAUGUUACGGUUACUAAAAACGGAUCAUGUCAUCAUAAGCAUUGUAAAGCAUAAUUGUUAAAGCACAUUAGUAUGCAUCAACUUAAAAUAAGUUUACUUUGAUUGCUUGAGCUUAGGGAAGUAGAGUGUGCUUUUGUGGUGUGUUGUUGCUUAGGUGGUUGCUAAAACCCUAGGGUGGAAGUUUUCCGAAGAACUAGGGGGGGAAAACCCUGAUUUCUGGAUCCUAGAUUUGUCCCCUUUUUCAUAAGUCAAAAACUAAGAAAAAUUUGAGGUUGAGUUCAAAAGCAAAGUUGUAGCUCUUGGCA